UGGGGCCGGGCUCAAGGCCGGCAGCCUGCUCUCGAGCGCUGCCCCCCGCCGGGCGAGCACGGCCUCCCGAGCCUUUCCUCCCGGGCACAAACAGGUCCCCCCCCAGGUUCCUCAUUGUUUCGAGAUGAUGAAAAUGUCUUUUCCAUCUCUCGGGUUUCAGUUCUGCUUUCCUGGCGAGUGACUGGAGAUCUGCCAUCAAAUACAAUAGCAGCAGGCUUCAGGGGACGCGGAGGUGCGGGCGCCCGCCUUCCUGCGGCCGCGGGAGGGGAAGGCCUGCUGCCUGGGCACGCAGAGAAGAGGCGCCUUGUUCCCGCGCGGGGCGCGGAAUAAGGACUCGUUCACUCAGGAAUAUUCCUGUGACCUGAUGUUACCUCCCUGGGUAGGAGCCUGGCCUGUAACCAGGCUCGCUCCUGAAUUAUGGCUGUAGAAACCCUCGUUACUUUCUCCACUAACUAGAGAGGAAACGUAGGAAAUCAGUUUCCUAUUUUAGGCACCUAAAUUACGUGGUUCAGGACUUGGGAUCUGUUUUGUGUGUUUUGGUGUCUUUCUUUGGUUGCUGAAGAAAAAGCGAGCUGCCUUUUGCUGAGUUUCUGUCUGUUUUCUCCCAUAUGAUUCUAGCCUGUCUUUACUAUUUGUUCCUUCUACCCAGCUUCUGCUUGUUAGAGUGUUAUUUUGGGACCGUAAUUAAUUAGUUCCAGUCCUCAUUCUAUUUCAAGUGCAGCAUUUUAGCUCUAGUUCUGUGCUAAUUGAAAAAUAAUUGCUAUUCUAGAAUUGGAGUCAUUUCUAGAUGUAGUUAAUGAAAUAACAGAAAUGUGAUGCUUCCUAUGCUGACGGGCUGUCUUAAGAUGGUGGAGAAAACUCAUUUUAGUCAGGAAUUUCAAUUUGUAAGAUUUCAGUAAUUUUACGGAUAGAACGCUUUUCUUGCUUGCUUCUCAGCUUGUCAAGGCUGAUGAGCAGAGCAUUUCUGACCCUGCUUCCCCCCCUCAGAAAUGCUUCCCACAGAACGACACCGUGGAGCACUAUAUCCUGCAAAUGCAGGUUCCCAGAAGGACAUUUCUGUUGCAGCUUCAGUAACUUAUGUUUCAGGAUAGUGCGGUCUGCAUCUCCUUCAGAUGAGAUUUUUUUUGUUAAGUAUUUUAAACCUUUUUUAACUUCUAAAAUGUUCAGUUUUGGAGCCUGUAUAUUUUAAAGUUAUCAGUUAUGUAUCUAGAAAGCUGAAUGAUGUCUUGAAUCUUGCUUUUUGACUGAUAAUUCACAUGUGUCGUGACGCUUUUUUUUUUCCCCCAGAUUUGCUAAAAUGUACUUCAGAAGGGAAGAUUUCAAACUGUGCUAAGACUUGUCAAAGUCAAAUUUACCACAGAAAAGCAAAACUGAUUUUGCAAUAAUCUUUAAUCAGGUCACCUAAAAUGUUAAACUUACUUUUAUUUCUAAUAGAAAUCCUUGAAAAAAUGAUACUUACAUUCUGGUACAUAACUAGACUUGUCAGACAUCCAAAUUUGACUGUGCAUGUUUCAGGGUUCAUUAGAGAUCAGGGUUGCAUUGCUGCCUAGUCCAUUAAUAAUCGAAGUCCAAGGGAUUUCGAACCACUAGUUUUGCUAGAACAAAAUUUAACCUUUGCUCCUGGUGUGCACACAGUACCGUUUCCGCCUCCAAUCCACCCCCCAGAAACAGCUGGUGUAGCAGAAAGUUUCCAGUCAGCGCUGCCACCGUAUCUCUUGGAGUGACGCCUGCGGCGGGGAAGGUACAGACUCUUCACAGCUCCGCUUCGGCCUCUGGCUGACCGCCCAAGUGGGACCUCAGGCCUCGUCCGCAGGUUCGUGGUGUUGCUUGUUGGCACAUCGCAGAGCACUGCAGCACUGGAGUCAGUGUGGAAGUGCAUGUGAUGCAAGCCAAAGCAUAUGUUUAUCGUAAAACAUUUCCAUGAAUGUGUGAAGACUUGAAAUUCAAUAGUCUGCUUUAUUUCCCGAGUUUAGAAACAGUACCCAUAGUAAAUAAAUAGGAAAAAAAGGCCUUUUCAUGAUCAAUGUGAUGUGUUGUGUUACAGAAAAAGCAUGGGUCGAUUUAAUUCCGAUAAAUGUAUCUUGAAAGGUUAUUUUAAUACAGAUACUUCCAGGAAAGGCAGCAGUGUUUAAUGAAAUUGCAAUGUUGAAGUGAAAUUGUGCCUGUCUUCUUGCCUUUCGAAGUUUGCAGGAAAACUCCCGCUGACUUCUGUAGGGUCAGGAUUCCACUCCCGAGCCAGUGGGACUGGUUUUGUGCGUGCCACUCAGACUCACAGUGGCUUAGCAUAUCUACCUGCAACAUGACGAAAAGAAACCUACCUCAUGAGCAAAGUGCUGGAUUCAACUUCUGAAAUGACACAGGAAAACAGUCUUGGACUUUCAGAAUCCAGAGUUGAUGUGUUAAUGAAAUAAAAUAGAAAAACAAGAAAAAUACAUGCCUUUUUGGUAACUCUUAAUGAUCAAUUGUCUAAGCAAUGAAUGCUAUCUUGUUUACAUUCAAUAAGUAAACUAUAUUUGUUUGUAUUAGAAUAGGUGAACAGCUGUCACUAUUUUAUCUGCUCUAAAAAGAAAGGCAUGAUAUUGUAAUAGAUCUCUGUUAGCUCUCUUUCACAUUCAUUUACUUCUUCACUCGAUACUGUUACACAUGCAGCAGAGCCCCCUGCUGUCACAAAGACCCUCUGAAAUACUAAAAUGAAAUAAUCUUUCUGCCCUCACCACGGACCUUCUCAGUUAAGAAGACAAAAAAAUCCCAAAGUACCUUCAGAGUUCCGGUUGCAUGGAUUUGGGCUUGAUUUGGGAAUGAAAUCUACAUUCUGCAUAGAAUACAUUUGUGCUUUUGGCAACAGUCCCACUUUAUAUCAAAAAUAAACGUCUUAGGUUUAUGCAUGUCUGGAGAAAAACCUCUGCAGGUAAUAGCAUGCUACAGGCUGAAAGCAAUACGCAGAGAUGGAAAAGAAACAAACCCCACCCUCCAAGACAUAAAUACAAAGAAGAAAAGGAAAACAACACAUUAGCCGAUUUACUAAUUCUGCACUCGCGCGGAAAGCACAAUACACACAUGGGGGAGCCCUAGAUGCUCACGAGUACAGAGGAGCAUGUUCUGCUCUGCUAGCGACCUGGGGCUGGGGCAGCAAACAGGGUGGCUUGGCUCAAAGGGGUGGUAUUUCUGUCUGGGAAUGAGGGGAAGAGUGGAGAGGGCACAGAGCACUUCCAGAUGGAGUCUCCAGGAGGAGGAAGGAUAGGAAAAAUUAGAAUCAAUAGGUUGUACCUUGAUAAGAAAGGAUAUUGACAACAAUAAAAAUACCUGGUUCUUUAUUCAUCAUAAAAGAUUGGUCGUAAGGAUGCAGAGGGUUGGCAUGACAAACUGAGAAUCUGAAAAACACUUUCUAUGACAUAAAUAUUAUUUACCUCAGAAAUUCAGGCCCUGCUGGCAUAGCAAAGGUGUAGUACUAUUCCUGUUGCUUUGAUCCUGGUGGUGGUAGUGCUAUGGUAAUAGUAUGUUGCUGUCUGAGAAUAUUUACCGUGGUCUUCAGGAAGACAAAUUUAUGAAUGAGAUUGUAGGAAGCAUGGUUUUGUGGUUGAGACAUUGGACAGAUUCAGGAAAACUGGAUCAAAUUAAACUGUGUUCCUACGUAUCUUAGGUUUAUCUGUAAGAAGCAAAGUCAAUACUUACAUAUGGUCAUUUUGACUUGUAGUACCUGCAGCAUGUAGAAUACCACUUUAUUUGUGUGGGGAGAUUAUAAUCACAGAGUUCAGAGAAUGAUGUUUCCCUGCUAUCAAUAUUUAGGAUUUUAAAACACUCUUAGUUAUAUUUUGACCAUAUAUAGCAUACCUUAUGAACUGAUUUUUGUUUGUGUGUUAUACACAUAUUCAUUUCAGCACUUUCAUUUCUUAAUAAAUUUUGCUUCUUUUAUGCAUUGUAUUUAAAGUCUAACAGCUCUUUGUUUCAGUGGUGGAAAUCUUAGUUGUAAAAUAGUUUAAUAAGCAUCUGUCCUCAUUUGCUUUAUGUGAGUUAUUUAGAAGCAAAAUCUUGGGGUUAUUUUACUGGAGAAUUUUAUUUUACUGUCUUUUCUUUUUACCUCAGCAAAAACUGAAAUAUAACUGGAGCAGUAACCUCUAUCAGCACUUGCUUUAUCACCUGAAGUCAAAAUCCUUUGUGUUACAACAAUGCAAAAUUUUCCGCAGUGACCAGCUGCGACAUUUGCCAGAGAAAAAGAGAGGUAGGAAAACUGUUUAUCAAACAAGAUUCUUCUGGUUGCGGAAAUCUCAGAAGAGCAUCACAUUAAAUCUAUACAUUUAAGAAGAAUGCAAAAACAAUGGCAAAGAAACAAUACAGCUGAUCUAUUAUCUGAA